rnacentral:rRNA from 1 species
UACAGAGGGGGCAAGCGUUAUUCGGAAUUAUUGGGCGUAAAGAGCUCGUAGGCGGUCUGUCGCGUCUGCUGUGAAAACUCAGGGCUUAACCCUGAGCUUGCAGUGGGUACGGGCAGACUAGAGUGCGGUAGGGGAGACUGGAAUUCCUGGUGUAGCGGUGGAAUGCGCAGAUAUCAGGAGGAACACCGAUGGCGAAGGCAGGUCUCUGGGCCACUACUGACGCUGAGAAGCGAAAGCAUGGGGAGCGAACAGG